rnacentral:lncRNA from 1 species
CUUCUUAGAAUGGAAACCCAAUAUUAUCACCGUUGAUUCCUGCAUUUCAAAACCCAAUUUGAUGGUGAUGUGCCAUAGUUAGUCCGUUGUGCUACUGGAUUAAAAAUGGUACCAGGAACACUGAAUCAGUGUACGAGAUUGAGGACCAUAACCAAUAACUUCUUAGACCAUCAGCCAGCCGAGCUCUUCAAAACACAAUACAGAACUGACAUUCAUUAAACAACCACCACCUUUAUCACCUACACAAGAAGACAGCUAGGUCCCUCAUAUUUAAUGGAUAUUUUAAGUCUUAAAUACCACCACAAAGGACACUUACUUGUUUGCCGUCUCCUCUCAUCUUCU